rnacentral:rRNA from 1 species
GACGAACGCUGGCGGCGUGCUUAACACAUGCAAGUCGAACGGAAAGGCCCUGCUUUUGUGGGGUGCUCGAGUGGCGAACGGGUGAGUAACACGUGAGUAACCUGCCCUUGACUUUGGGAUAACUUCAGGAAACUGGGGCUAAUACCGGAUAGGAGCUCCUGCUGCAUGGUGGGGGUUGGAAAGUUUCGGCGGUUGGGGAUGGACUCGCGGCUUAUCAGCUUGUUGGUGGGGUAGUGGCUUACCAAGGCUUUGACGGGUAGCCGGCCUGAGAGGGUGACCGGCCACAUUGGGACUGAGAUACGGCCCAGACUCCUACGGGAGGCAGCAGUGGGGAAUAUUGCACAAUGGGCGGAAGCCUGAUGCAGCAACGCCGCGUGCGGGAUGACGGCCUUCGGGUUGUAAACCGCUUUCGCCUGUGACGAAGCGUGAGUGACGGUAAUGGGUAAAGAAGCACCGGCUAACUACGUGCCAGCAGCCGCGGUGAUACGUAGGGUGCGAGCGUUGUCCGGAUUUAUUGGGCGUAAAGGGCUCGUAGGUGGUUGAUCGCGUCGGAAGUGUAAUCUUGGGGCUUAACCCUGAGCGUGCUUUCGAUACGGGUUGACUUGAGGAAGGUAGGGGAGAAUGGAAUUCCUGGUGGAGCGGUGGAAUGCGCAGAUAUCAGGAGGAACACCAGUGGCGAAGGCGGUUCUCUGGGCCUUUCCUGACGCUGAGGAGCGAAAGCGUGGGGAGCGAACAGGCUUAGAUACCCUGGUAGUCCACGCUGUAAACGGUGGGUACUAGGUGUGGGGUCCAUUCCACGGGUUCCGUGCCGUAGCUAACGCUUUAAGUACCCCGCCUGGGGAGUACGGCCGCAAGGCUAAAACUCAUAGGAAUUGACGGGGCCCCGCACAAGCGGCGGAGCAUGCGGAUUAAUUCGAUGCAACGCGUAGAACCUUACCUGGGUUUGACAUGGAUCGGGAGUGCUCAGAGAUGGGUGUGCCUCUUUUGGGGUCGGUUCACAGGUGGUGCAUGGCUGUCGUCAGCUCGUGUCGUGAGAUGUUGGGUUAAGUCCCGCAACGAGCGCAACCCUUGUUCACUGUUGCCAGCACGUUAUGGUGGGGACUCAGUGGAGACCGCCGGGGUCAACCCGGAGGAAGGUGGGGAUGACGUCAAGUCAUCAUGCCCCUUAUGUCCAGGGCCUCACGCAUGCUACAAUGGCUGGUACAGAGAGUGGCGAGCCUGUGAGGGUGAGCGAAUCUCGGAAAGCCGGUCUCAGUUCGGAUUGGGGUCUGCAACUCGACCUCAUGAAGUCGGAGUCGCUAGUAAUCGCAGAUCAGCAACGCUGCGGUGAAUACGUUCCCGGG